CCUACGGGUGGCAGCAGUGGGGAAUAUUGGGCAAUGGGCGCAAGCCUGACCCAGCAACGCCGCGUGAAGGAAGAUGGCUUUCGGGUGGUAAACUUCUUUUCUCAGGGACGAAGAAAGUGACGGUACCUGAGGAAUAAGCCACGGCUAACUACGUACCAGCAGCCCCGGUAAUACGUAGGUGGCAAGCGUUAGCCGGUUUUAUUGGGUGUAAAGGGCGUGUAGGCGGGAGCGCAAGUCAGAGGUGAAAACUCAGGGCUCAACCCUGACCCUGCCUUUGAAACUGUGUUUCUUGAGUGCUGGAGAGGCAACCGGAAUGUCGGGUGUAGCGGUGAAAUGCGUAGAUAUCCGGAGGAACACCAGUGGCGAAGGCGGAUUGCUGGACAGUAACUGACGCUGAGGCGCGAAAGCGUGGGGAGCAAACAGGAUUAGAUACCCGAGUAGUC
rnacentral:rRNA from 1 species